rnacentral:lncRNA from 1 species
GGGACCCCCGUAAGUGUCCCUCUGUGCUCCCCGCUCUGUGGGCCGCAGCAGCCCCCAGCCCCCCGAUUCCUGCCUCUCCCCCUUGCGACCCCCCCGGGCAGACGGUGACAGCGUGGUCCUGGCCACGCCACGGCUGCAGAGUGGCCCUGGGGACAGGGCUGUCACCGCUGCUCGCUGGGCGGACUGGCCGGGGAGACUUAAUGCCACCUCCCGCCCCCAGGGACCCCCCGGAGCCCAGGGCCCCCCAGGAAUGGCAGCAGAGAAAGGAGCCAAGGGAUCUCCGGGUCCUAAAGGUGCCGUGGGCCCCCCCGGGCCACCAGGACCCAGCGUCACCGGGCCACCGGUAGGUCCUGCCCCGGGGGGGGGACACUGCCAUCCUCCCCCAGCCCCUUGAUGCUGGCUGGGGGCUGAGCCCAGGGCCGAGCUUCCUCACGCUCCUCUUCCUCGCAGGGCCCCGAGGGGCAGCGGGGGCUCCCCGGGGUGCCCGGCUCCAGCGGGCUGCCGGUAGGUACGGGACUGGGGGGGGGACGGGGGCACGGAGGGGGCUG